GGGAUCCUUGUGAGUUCCAGACCAGCCAGUGAGACCAUAGAAAACAAACAGAAAACAAAAGAAGUCACACAGGAUACGUAUCCAAGAGCACAGGGUACUGUGUCUGCUUCAUUGGUGUAAGGCGAGGUCUUCAUGUGCUUCAGGCUGGACCCUGACGACACAGCGGAGGCUGACUCUGAACGUCUAAUUCUGGCUCCACCUCCUGAAUUCCGUGUGUGCCGCCAUGCCCACUUUGUCUGGCCCUGGCACUUAAUCCAGGACUUUGUGAAUGCCAGGGAAACACUAUCAAUGGAGCUAUGUUCCCGGUCCAAGAGAGCUGCUCUCCUAACGCCCACGUCCCCUGUACACAGAGCUAAAUCCUCAGUCUCCCGACUGGAUUUUUAAUAUGUCCUUUUUUCUUUGGAAGUGUAUAUUUGAAUUAUAUUGAAACUAACAUUAGAAUAAAGUGAGCACAGUGACACAUGG